rnacentral:rRNA from 1 species
CGGGUUGUAAAGCUCUUUCGCGAGGGAAGAAACGGUGAAUGCUAAUACUGUUCACUAAUGACGGUACCUUGAUUAACGAAGCACCGGCUAAACUACCGUGC